AGUGUAGCAGAAAUGUUGACGGAUGAUGAUGGCAGCAGCAGCCGUUCUUCUCUGCAUACUCCCUUCACCCUGGCCAAAAAGGCUAAAAUGACCAAAGAAAAAGUGGAAAACAGCUAAACACGAGAGGUUUUUGGGCAAAGAGGUUUUUGCGCUCAGCCGAACGCAUCAUUCAAUCAGAGCUCCCUGACCUGCUGUCCAUCUACACCAAGCGGUCCAAGACCAAAGCUAGGAAGAUAUGAUGGACCUCUCCCAUCCCAACAAUGGACUCUUCUCACUGUUGAGGUCUGGGAAGCGCUUCCGCUCCCUUAAGGCCAAAACUGAGAGAAUGAGGAGGAGCUUCUUCCCCCAGGCUAUUCGGGCCCUGAACCAGUUGUAGGACUGGACUCUCCCACACACAUCACAUCACCACACGCACUCUGGUUUCUCUUCAUGCACACUUCCUAUAAUUUAUAAUCUCUUUCUGCUAUUUGCACAUUUUUUUUAAUGUAAAUUUCUAAGUUAAAUCUGUAAAUUUUGUAUAACCUGUAAAUUGUAAAUACUGUAAAACCACUGUCAUUUAAUGGUCGAGCAUUGCAUUGCACAGCUACAAGCAUUUCACCUCAUGUCAUACUGUGUAUGGUUGUGUGUGUGACAAAUAAAAAUUUGAAUUUGAA